ensembl:lncRNA
UUUAUCUGUGAACAUCAGUACAAAGCAAAGGGGAAAGAGGCCAAGCAGAUGGUAAAUCCUCCUGCAGAGUAAACAGCCUGAAAAGGGAACAGCUGCAGAUGCCUUUUUGACAAGCACCUCGCCUGAUGCUGGCCAUGUGAAAUAUUUGUACCCGUCAGAUAUAUUACGCUGUCCUCAUCUUCAGUUCUCUGUGUUGUUUACAGCCUGGUUCCCUGGAAGUCAGUAGAGCUUUUCAUAGCUAGUCCUUCAAUUCUUGAAAAUACACAAGUCAAGUAUUUUUAACUGUUUCAUGCCACAGCUUCUAUAACUGCUGUUUGUUUCUGUUCUUUGCCUCAGUUGCUUCUGUCCUUUGGUGUGCUGUAACCAAGCAAAAAUGUUCUUGAGUGUUCCUGGCUCUAAAAC